UGGAGAAGCAGGGCACGUGC
rnacentral:ncRNA from 3 species